rnacentral:lncRNA from 1 species
UUCAUUCAUUGAUAUAAUAUUAAAAUUACAAGAAAUUCAUCCAGAUUUAUGGAUGUUCGAGAUUGAUCGAUAAAACCAAUCAAAAUCAAACCUUAUUUCUCCCCUCUUUUAUCAUAAAUAAAAAAGAUUGACACCAAGAAUAGAAAAAAUGGGAGAGUGAGAAAAAAAGAAACAAGUUACAUGGAAAAAGGAAAAAGGAAAGGGGAAAUAAUAAAAGACUUGUAAAAAUAGAAAAAAC